AAGCUUGCUUUUGCUGGGCGACGACCGGCGCACGGGUGAGUAACGCGUAUCCAACCUGCCCAUAACUAAGGGAUAAUCCGUAGAAAUGCGGUCUAAUACCUUAUGUGUUCCGACGAGGACAUCUGAAUUGGAAUAAAGAUUUAUCGGUUAUGGAUGGGGAUGCGUCUGAUUAGAUUGUUGGCGGGGCAACGGCCCACCAAGUCUACGAUCAGUAGGGGUUCUGAGAGGAAGGUCCCCCACAUUGGAACUGAGACACGGUCCAAACUCCUACGGGAGGCAGCAGUGAGGAAUAUUGGUCAAUGGGCGGGAGCCUGAAUCAGCCAAGUAGCGUGCAGGAUGACGGCCCUAUGGGUUGUAAACUGCUUUUGUAUGGGGAUAAAGUGCUCCACGUGUGGAGUUUUGCAGGUACCAUACGAAUAAGGACCGGCUAAUUCCGUGCCAGCAGCCGCGGUAAUACGGAUGGUCCGGGCGUUAUCCGGAUUUAUUGGGUUUAAAGGGAGCGUAGGCCGUGGAUUAAGUGUGUUGUGAAAUGUAGGCGCUCAACGUCUGACUUGCAGCGCAUACUGGUCCACUUGAGUGCGCACAACGCGGGCGGAAUUUGUCGUGUAGCGGGGAAAUGCUUAGAUAUGACGAAGAACCCCGAUUGCGAAGGCAGCUCGCGGGAGCGCAACUGACGCUGAAGCUCGAAAGUGCGGGUAUCGAACAGGAUUAGAUACCCUGGUAGUCCGCACGGUAAACGAUGGAUGCCCGCUUUUCGGUCAUUAGACCGUGAGGCCAAGUGAAAACAUUAAGCAUCCCAC
rnacentral:rRNA from 1 species